AUAAUCACAACUGCGCAUUCUCAUUUGCAUUCAAGUGCAGAUAGUGGACAUAGCAAAGGAUGUCGCAGGCCCUGAUGAUGUGAGAGAGACAUGACUUACGAGGCAAGAUCAACAUAAUAAAAGUAUUUAUUGCGAUAAAGCAACUGUUAAGCUCCAUAAGUGUUUCAGUCUAGCGGCAAAAAAUCUCUAAAAUUGGAAUAAACGAUUUAUAUUAACUGCCAACGGCGCCUUCCUUCCCCGACAUCACAACACAAGUCACGUACGCUACCUAAUGGGGUGAAGAAGGCGGUUAUGAUAAUGAAUUAUUUCCGUUUAACUGGGUUACUUAUAAACGCGAGAACGACUUGAGCUUUAUCUUCGUACCUUGAAGCAGCGACUGUAUCAUCAUUCUGCUAACGAUCAUCGCCUUCGGAAAAAUACAUCCUAAUUGAGGAUGAAUAACACGGUUUGUUGUUGCCUGGUUAUAUUGAUCUUUGUACAUUCUCUGACAUUGCUAGAAGUGGAAAGCACGAGAUGCACACAUUAUUUGUGCCCACCUCCUCCAAAACCAGACGAACGUGCUGAUGUAACCGAAGAUGAAAUACAACCAAAUGAAUUUGACAUUUCUCAGCUCCCGGAAGAACAAAUGUCAUUUUUGGCCUAAAUUAUCCAGAUUGAUUUCAAUCAUAACAUGAACAAUUUUGUUUACUAUCGAUUAAAUAAAACUAACUCGAUAUCAUG